rnacentral:rRNA from 1 species
UACGAAGGGGCUAGCGUUGCUCGGAAUGACUGGGCGUAAAGGGCGCGUAGGCGGUUUGCACAGUCAGGCGUGAAAUUCCUGGGCCUUAACCUGGGGGCUGGCGCUUGAUAACGUGUGGACUGGAGUGCGGAAGAGGGGUCGGUGGAAUUCCCAGUGUAGAGGUGAAAAUUCGUAGAUAUUGGGAAGAACACCGGUGGCGAAGGCGGCGACCUGGUUCGUGACUGGACGCUGAGGCGCGAAAGCGUGGGGAGCAAACAGG